UACAGAGGUGGCAAGCGUUGUUCGGAAUUACUGGGCGUAAAGGGCGCGUAGGCGGUCUUGUAAGUCCCGUGUGAAAUCCCUCGGCUCAACUGAGGAACUGCACGGGAAACUGCUUGGCUUGAGUUCGGGAGAGGGAAGCGGAAUUCCGGGUGUAGCGGUGAAAUGCGUAGAUAUCCGGAGGAACACCGGUGGCGAAGGCGGCUUCCUGGACCGACAC
rnacentral:rRNA from 1 species